AGAGUUUGAUCCUGGCUCAGAACGAACGCUGGCGGCAGGCCUAACACAUGCAAGUCGAACGAGAAGCCACCUUCGGGUGGUGGACAGUGGCAGACGGGUGAGUAACGCGUGGGAACGUGCCUUUCGGUUCGGGAUAACCCAGGGAAACUUGGGCUAAUACCGGAUACGCCCUUCGGGGGAAAGAUUCAUUGCCGAAAGAUCGGCCCGCGUCGGAUUAGCUAGUUGGUGGGGUAACGGCCUACCAAGGCGACGAUCCGUAGCUGGUCUGAGAGGAUGACCAGCCACACUGGGACUGAGACACGGCCCAGACUCCUACGGGAGGCAGCAGUGGGGAAUAUUGGACAAUGGGCGCAAGCCUGAUCCAGCCAUGCCGCGUGGGUGAAGAAGGCCUUAGGGUUGUAAACCCCUUUCAGCGGGGAAGAUAAUGACGGUACCCGCAGAAGAAGUCCCGGCUAACUCCGUGCCAGCAGCCGCGGUAAUA
rnacentral:rRNA from 1 species